rnacentral:rRNA from 1 species
AUUGAACGCUGGCGGCAGGCUUAACACAUGCAAGUCGAGCGGAGACUUCGGUCUUAGCGGCGAACGGGUGAGUAAUACCUAGGAAUCUGCCUAUUAGUGGGGGAUAACGAAUCGAAAGGUUCGCUAAUACCGCAUACGUCCUACGGGAGAAAGGGGGGGGAUCUUUGGACCUCUCGCUAAUAGGUGAGCCUAGGCCGGAUUAGCUAGUUGGUAGGGUAAAGGCCUACCAAGGCGACGAUCUGUAGCUGGUCUGAGAGGAUGGCCAGCCACACUGGAACUGAGACACGGUCCAGACUCCUACGGGAGGCAGCAGUGGGGAAUAUUGGACAAUGGGGGCAACCCUGAUCCAGCCAUGCCGCGUGUGUGAAGAAGGCCUUCGGGUUGUAAAGCACUUUAAGCGAGGAGGAAGGUUUUAGUUUAAUACACUAAAGAAUUGACGUUACUCGCAGAAUAAGCACCGGCUAACUCUGUG